AGUCUUAUAUUCAAUAAAUGAUAUUAAAUUGCAAGUUUAAAGUAAUAAUAGUAUAUUAUUAAGACUU
rnacentral:tRNA from 1 species